GUGGGUAGCUCAGUAGCAGAGCACUUGCCUGGCAUGCACAAGGCUCUGGGUUCAACUCCCAGGACCACA
rnacentral:tRNA from 1 species